UACGGAGGGUGCAAGCGUUAUCCGGAUUCACUGGGUUUAAAGGGUGCGUAGGCGGGUUGGUAAGUCAGUGGUGAAAUCUUCAAGCUUAACUUGGAAACUGCCGUUGAUACUAUCAAUCUUGAAUAUUGUGGAGGUAAGCGGAAUAUGUCAUGUAGCGGUGAAAUGCUUAGAUAUGACAUAGAACACCGAUAGCGAAGGCAGCUUGCUACACAAUCAUUGACGCUGAUGCACGAAAGCGUGGGGAUCAAACAGGA
rnacentral:rRNA from 1 species